AUGGGAGACGGUAGAAGUGGUGACCCAUCCUACCAUGGCAUCCAUCCGCUCAAGGCUCGCUCGCCGCCAGCGGAGUGGGACUGUGGGGCACUGGGGGUGGACCUAGAUCCCCCCAUUUUUUUGGAACUAGUUGAGGGAGUUGGUUUUAUUAGCGGAGAAGAACUGCGCGCAAGUGGCGGCCGGAAUCCCGUGCGGAGCGGCCCCCAUGCCACGACGGCGGUUGAGGAUGCCGCAGGGGAGCGAUGCAGCUGCUCCUCGUCGCCUCGCCGGUCAUUCGCCGCUGCAAGGACCUCGUCGCGCGCACCCUCGGCCAGGGACGCCGACGCCGCCGGCCGGAGACGGCGGCGCAGCCGCGGCCCACUCUACCGCCUCCUCCUUGGAUGCCUCGGCUUCCUCGUCGCAUGCCCCGACAACACGAUGGUCGCCGAGUCGACGCCCGUGAGGUGGCUUCCGCUGUCAGCGUCGUCAACGGCGAGGCUGACCUGGGUGGUGGCGAAGGAGCUCGACCGCGGUGAGGGAGCUCGGCGGUGGCAGCGAGGGAGCUCGGCACCGGAGACCGCACUGGAGAGACCCCACUAGGCCCGGCCGU
rnacentral:lncRNA from 1 species